AAGUCGUAACAAGGUUUCCGUAGGUGAACCUGCGGAAGGAUCAUUAAAACAAUACGCCUGGUGAAAGUGAGGUAAAACCACCGAAUCCAGUGCUGUAUCUAACCACCUGUUUACCUUUACCUGUUGCUUCCGUGGAAUUACGGGUGCUCUUCCUGUUCGCAGGCUUGAGUUACCUUCCACGGGUGUAUUUUAAAACUCGUUUUGUAUUAUUGUCUGAUCUAAAAUUUUAAUAAAAGUUAAAACUUUCAACAACGGAUCUCUAGGUUCUC
rnacentral:misc_RNA from 1 species